GGGCAGCAGGCAGUGAUGCCCAGGCCAGCACCCAGGGUUUUUGUGGGGUGGGCACAGAGACUCCACCAUUGUGAUUACUACGGUUUUGAUGUCUGGGGCCCAGGGCUCAAGGUCACUGUCUCUACAGGGAAAGAAUCUGACCCAACUCUCUUCCCCCUGGUCUCCUGUGAGAGCAGCCUGUCCACAGACAGCUUGUUGGCCAUGGGCUGCCUUGCCCAGGACUUCUUGCCUAGCAGCAUCAGCUUCUCCUGGAAAUACCAGAACAACACCUCGGUUAGCAACCAGAAUUUCAUUACCUUCUCACCAAUCCUGAGAGAUGGCAAGUACAUGGCCUCCUCUCACUUGCUGCUCCCCUCUGAAAGCAUCAUCCCAGACACAGAUGAGUACCUGGUGUGCCAGGUUGAACACAAAAAUCAAACGACCCUGAAUGUGCCUGUGAAAGGCCUGCUGCCUGUGGGACAGUCCCCCAGUGUGACCGUGUACAUCCCGCCCAGGGACGCCUUCUACAGCUCCAACCAGCGCAUGUCCAACCUCAUCUGCCAGGCCACAGAAUUUAGCUCCAAGAAGAUCUCUGUGUCCUGGCUGCGUGAUGGCAAGCUGAUAGAGCCAGGCUUCCCCCAGGGCAAGGUUGAGCCCGAAGCCAAAAGGACUGUGCCAGUCACUUACCAGGUCACCAGCAUGCUGCCCAUCAGCGAGAGUGACUGGCUCAGCCAGAGCGUGUUCACCUGCCACGUAGAGUACAAUGGGAUAAACAUCUUAAGGAAUGUGUCCUCCAUCUGUGGCACCAGUUCAUCCCCAGGAAUCAAAGUCUUCCCCAUCCCCCUCUCCUUUGUUGACAUCUUUCUCAACAAAACUGCCAAGGCCAAGCUCUCCUGUAUAGUCACAGAUGUGACCAACUAUGAAAGCCUGACCAUCUCCUGGACCCAUCAGAAUGGCGAGGUUCUGGAAACCCAAAUGAGCAACCCAAAAAGAUUCCCCAAUGGCACCUACAGUGCCAGGGGUGAGGCCACCAUCUGCAAAGAGGACUGGGAGAGUGGGGAUGAGUUCACAUGCAUUGUGACUCACACGGACCUCCCCUCCCCAGUCAAGCGCACCAUCUCCAAGCCCAAGGGGGUGGCCAAGCAAGAACCAGCCGUCUACUUGUUGCCACCCACCCGAGAGCAGCUGAGCCUGCGGCACUCGGCCUCUGUCACCUGCCUGGUGAAGGACUUCUCCCCUCCAGACCUGUUUCUGCAGUGGCUACACAAGGGGAAGCCUGUGCCCAGAGACCAGUAUGUGACCAGUGCCCCGAUGCCUGAGCCCCAGAACAAGGGCCACUACUUUGCCUACAGCAUCCUGACUGUGUCUGAGAAGAACUGGAGCAAUGGAGACACCUACACCUGCAUUGUGGGGCAUGAGGCCCUGAGGCACACUGUGACUGAGAGGACCGUGGACAAGUCCACUGAGGGGGAGGUGAAUGCUGAAGAGGAAGGGUUUGAGAACCAGUGGACCACAGCCUCCACCUUCAUAGUCCUCUUCAUCCUGAGCCUCUUCUAUAGCACAACAGUCACCCUGUUCAAGGUGAAAUGAUCCAUCAAUGGAAGGACUUCCAAGACCAAAGAGACAGCCAAAGGGGACCUUCCUUGGGGCUUGGGUAUUGCCCAAGGCUUAUGUUACAUUUUGGCUUGAAAUCUUCCCUCAUGUCCUCUUCCAGCCUUGAACCUUAAGAAACAGGCUUCUCCCUAGAUACAACCAAAUGCCUAUUCAUUAUGUGUGGAAACUAAAGCUGUGGACUUCUUCUCUGUGUGUGCUUAUUGCCUCAAAAUAAAUAUGUGUAUUUUAUCUUCUUAAA